UACGUAGGGACCAAGCGUUGUUCGGAUUUACUGGGCGUAAAGGGCGCGUAGGCGGCCUGCUAAGUCGGAUGUGAAAUCCCUCGGCUCAACCGAGGAACUGCAUCCGAUACUGGCGGGCUUGAAUCCGGGAGAGGGAUGUGGAAUUCCCAGUGUAGCGGUGAAAUGCGUAGAUAUUGGGAGGAACACCAGUGGCGAAGGCGGCUCACUGGACUGGUACUGACGCUGAGGCGCGAAAGCGUGGGGAGCAAACGGG
rnacentral:rRNA from 1 species